ACGCUCAACUCUAUUUCUAGAGAUGUGACCUAGGCGUUGGUGCCAAAGAGUUCCUGAAUUUGCAUCUUCAAACUUUCGUUUAGUACCUCUUGAUUCAACACUUAAACUUUCAUCUUUAGAGUUUAUAGUGUCAAGCAUAUAAAGACUGUGAUUUUCCAAAAGUUUACCGGUUCCAACAAGUUUUGAAUUUAAAGACAAAGUAGCGGUUCCGUUCUCAGUUAGACAAGAAUAACCUGAUCUGUCUAACCAAGGACCUGAAACCAAAUUACGUCUAAAAGACGGUACAACAAAAGUGUCUUUCAAAUCCAGAAAAUGACCAGAAACAAAAAACAAUCUAAAAUGCGCAAUUGCCUCCACAUGCAUCGGACUCCCAUUAGCCACAUGAAUGCGUCUUUCAGCAUCAUUUGGGGUUCGAUAGCUCAGGCAACCCUGAAGUGAAACACUAAUGUUAGUAGUAGCACCAGAAUCUAACCACCAAGUGUUCCUAGGUACUUCAAUUAAGUUCAUUUCUGAGCAAACCAAAGCAAGGAACAUACCUUUCUUAGCACGCCAAGCGUGAUAUUUAGGGCAAUCCUUCUUUAUGUGUCCACCCUUCCUGCAAAAGAAACAUGUAUCUUCAACCUUAGCAUGUUUCUUUUGGGUAGGACCCUUAGCAGCAUUAUCCUUAGUGGGCUCAAAUUUCUUUCUUUUGCCCUGUCCCUUAGAGGUGUAAACCAUAUGAGAACUUUCGGUCCUCUCUUGUUUCAUCCUCUCUUCCUCUUGCACACAAUAUGCAAUGAGCUCGUUAAGAGACCAUUGCUCCUUCUGUGUGUUAUAACUUGAUUUCAGCUGACUGAACUGAGGAGGAAGAGAGUUCAAGACAAAGUAUAUGAGCAAUUCAGCCGGAAGCUCAGUCUUAAGUGUCUUGAGUUUCGAAACAAUGUUGGACAUUUCCAAAAUGUACUCCCUUAUUUUUCCAUUGCCAUGGUACCUCAUCGUACUAAAGCGAUGCAAAAGCAUGCUAAUUUCCGCCUUAUCGCUUCUUGCGAAACGGGAAUCCAUCUCGGCAAGGAACUGUUUGAGAUCAUUGAUCUCCUCACCACCUCUGAAGGCUUCUGGAAUGGUGUCCUUAAUGAUCAUCAAACCAAUGCGGUUAGAACGCUCCCACUUCUCAUGAACAGCCUUAUAUUCCGAAGUGCUGUCAUCCGUAGGAGAAGAAGGUUUGUCCAUCCUGAGCGCAAGGUCAAGAUCCAUACACCCAAGAACAAUCUUCACUUUACUUUUCCAUUCCGAAAAAUUGGAACCCGUAAGAAUUGGAAUGGAUCCUAAGUUGGCAGAUAAAGUAGCUGAAAAGAGAGAACAAAACCGAGUUAACUCAAUAUCCGAAGAAAUCAAUGAUAAAUUUUAACUGAUUAUACUUCCCAUCCAAGAUACCAAAUGUAACAUCAAUAUCAAGUCUUUGGACAGUAAUAUUGACUACUAGCAGUACUCUUGUAAUAACAAUCAAAUAUUGACAAUAAUCCACGAUAAACAAUAAACCUUCCUUUGGGCCGAUUUAUUAUUUACAUGUUGAAACCAUAUAAUUGUCAUGUAUUCAUCAUCAUAAUUGUAUGUACAAUUCGGCCAAAAAUUAAGUCUUCCUUUGGGCCGACUCAACAUCCGCAUGAAUAUUGCACACACGUAUAUAUAUAAAUUUCGGCCAAACACAACCUUCCUUUGGGCCGAUUAAAUAUUCGCCAUGAACUUACAUACAUACUUCCUUUAAUAAUUCUCAUGAAAAAUCUUCUCAAGAGAGGUCUUCCUUUGGGCCGACAUCUUGAUUAAAUUAACCAAUCAAAUUAUUAAAUAUGUAUAAUCAAAUUUAUUAAUUGAUUUAAAGCUGAAUUUUAUUCUUGCACAUACAUAUAAGUGAACGUAUGUAGGUUCUUUAUGCAAGAAUACUUAAGCGGGAGAGUGGUUGGAGGCAGCAAGGGAGGUGCCAGCUUUAGUCACGCGACCUGGGUUCGAAUCCCACACUCUGCGUUUUUUAACUUAAUUAAAGCUGGAUGGGCCUAACUUAAUGUUUGUACCAAACUGGCCCAACUGAUUUAAAACAUAAGAAAAUGGGCCAAAAUAAUUAAAUUCGCAGGCCCAGAAUAAUUAAUUAAAUCAGAAAUUUUAUUUGGGCCAAACAACUAACAAGCCCAUCACGAAUCUGCCUCCCACCUUGGGUAUUGUCAAACAAUUUUUUCAACUUUAAUACCUAAAAAACAGAUCUAACCAAAUCUGGAAAAAAUUGUUCCACAAAAAAAAAAAAUGAAAAUUUUCAACAAAAUUUCAGAAAGUAUAAACCUUAUGAACAAUAUUUUCCAUCAAUAAAACCUUAAACCUUAUUUAGAUAUAAAUCUUAAACAUAGAUAACAACCAAAGAUCUAUAUCUAACAUGCAUGGUCCCAAAAUUCAACAUAAACUUUAGAAAAAAACAGAUUGAACAAUCCAAUAUUUUCACAUAAUAAUUAAAUUCGAAUUUAAAAUACAAACUUUAGAUUAAAUUCGAAAUUAUUUUAGAUCCAAAUAGAAAAUCAAUAUGGUGGCUCUGAUACCAAUUGUUAAUUUUAUUUCUUUAUGAUUCAUCAAUUUGAAUCUCAUAACCAUAUAAUUCUCUAUUUGAAUAGACAAAGGGGAAAACAUACCUUGUGAAUCCAUGACUCAAUGAUCUAUGGCAAGAGAAUGGAUCUUCCAAUACAAACCCCUUGUUGACCUUAGCUCUCCAUUGAUGGGAUAUGGAGUUUUUCACUUAAUGUCAAGUUAGGUUGCAUUGGGGACCAUAACCCAUGAUGUAGAAGUAAUUUCUUGUUCAACCCUUCACUAAACUAGAAAUCACAUAAGGCAUCCACAUAUAAUAUUUCAUAACAUUUUAUGCCCAAACUUAUUAAUGGUCAUAUCACAUUUAUUCCUUAACAUAUGUGACCCAACCAAAAUGAUCUUACAAUAAUUGUUAAAUUUAUUUCUUUAUGAUUCAUCAAUUUGAAUCUCAUAACCAUAUAAUUCUCUAUUUGAAUAGACAAAGGGGAAAACAUACCUUGUGAAUCCAUGACUCAAUGAUCUAUGGCAAGAGAAUGGAUCUUCCAAUACAAACCCCUUGUUGACCUCCUCUCUCUCUUUAGGGUUUUCAAUCACAAAUCCGAAUGGCAGCACAUCGUCACCAAUUGUUCACAUACGCCCUCCAACCUUCUCUCGCCGCCGCCUCCACCGUUUCCCCCGCUCCUCCUCCGCCGCAACCGCUACCGCAACCGCAGCAAAGUCUCUCCCUUUCUUCUCUCUACGCCUCCUCCGCCGCCGACCGCUACUACCCCGACGCCACGUUCCGCUUCUUAUCCCGCGACGGAUCCGAAGCUUUGACCAACUACCAAGCAACGGUUGCUUCUUCUUCCUCUUCUUCGGCCAUGUACCACCACCACCAUCUCCCCAACGCGGCGGCGGCGUCGCAUUUGGCUUACCCUCCUCAGCUGAUUCAUCAGGAAGCUUGGCCGCCUGGCGUCGAGCCUCCCGCCGCCGCCGCCGCCGCCGCUCUUCCUCCUGGAGUCAAACGCACCUCUGAAGGUCUGUCCUUUUACCAAUUCUCAGAUCUGCAUCGUUUGAUUCAUUAAAGUCUUCACCUUUAUUGCUUUUGGAGAGCCUUAAAGUCUUCACCUUUCCGUUUCCUAUGCUCUCAUCGUGAUUCAAUCUUGAUGGUUCCUUCAAUUGCAGCAUUAAAAAACGUUGCUUUAACUGAGAUUAAGGCAUUAGAACACACUGCUUGCUAUUCUAGGAUAGAUCUUGACUUACACUGUUUGUGUUACUUACCCCAACGAUUUUUGAAUUGGUUAGUCAAUGGGUUCUUUUGUGUUUGGGAUACCACUAAGCUUUACAGAAGUUAGAAUCAUCUCUAAGGAUAUUUGACUACUGUAAUGCUAUUAAUUACAUCUCUGUUAAAGUAUAUUUGACUACUGUAAUGUUAUUAAUUAGUCUUUGUUUGCUUUAAUAUUUUAGAAAAGACAGUUAGUUUUUUGUUCCCUUAAAAGUUAUCUUUUCUUGCAACUCUUUCCAAUAAACUUUUUCAAAAGGAAGACAUACCUACUGUAAACUCUAAGUUAUGUUUUCUGCUGUAUUAUUUCGUAUAUUUCAUUAUCCUCAAGUUUAUUUUCAAGAUAUAAAUAUACAGCAGCAUAUAUAUAUAUAUAUAUAUAUACCUUCUCAUGUUGUUGUAUAUUACUGUUUAUUAUGUAAUAUAGCGCUCUACUAUCCGACUCUCUACGGUGCCCAUAAUCCAAUGGGUCAGACGGAAGCUUGGUAUACUACGGACUACUUAACCAAGCGCCUUAAGUUGGAGAGUACGACGCAUUUGCCUGUCUAUCCACAGCGGGCAGGGGAGAAGGAUUGUACCCACUAUAUGCAAACAAGAACUUGUAAAUUUGGAGAGGGCUGCAAAAGUAGCACCAGAAUCUAACCACCAAGUGUUCCUAGGUACUUCAAUUAAGUUCAUUUCUGAGCAAACCAAAGCAAGGAACAUACCUUUCUUAGCACGCCAAGCGUGAUAUUUAGGGCAAUCCUUCUUUAUGUGUCCACCCUUCCUGCAAAAGAAAC
rnacentral:lncRNA from 1 species